AAUCGCUGCGCUAGGGGCGACUGCAACCAAGCGUUGCGGCAAGUUACGGUGGGAGCUUCUGUCCGUGCUGUGUGAUUGCGACGAGGGGACCGCCGCCAGCAGCAGCGUUUCGCCGAUUUCGUCUUUGCCGACAUCUAGCAAGUGCGCUCGCCGGAAGCGCCCGAAGUGCUGCGGUUUGCACUGCAUCUUUCAUUGUGAUAUGGGAGAUCGCAACGGACAGAGACGACCAGAUGCAUACGAACCACUACCAGCGGGGACCUGUGACCUGUGCCAUAUUUCUCUUAACGUCUCAGGUAUUCAAGAAAUGCCAACAUCCAGAAGAAGACGCCAUCUUAUCCAGCACGUUAUGGGUACACUCUGGUGGCUCCCGCCCCUGCAUCCUACCACCACUGUGUCCUGACUACGUCCACUAGGGAGUUUGAAGCCUUUGGCGGCUCCUGCCACCACCAUGUCCUGACUACGUCCACUAGG